GCUCAUAUACAAGCUAAUACAUCACAAGUUUGAACCACCAUCAAUAACAUCAGAAGCAGUAAUCAUCAUCAUCGCCAUUCUUCAUCAUCACAAUGUUUCGUCUUCAAUGUUUAACAACAUAGAGCUUCUUGAGUGCCUUAAGGAGUUUCCGUGACUUGAACAAAAGUCGUGAGAAUGCGGUAAAAUUUAAAAUCAUUUUCAACUUAAACCAGAAGCCAGAGUCUCAUCAUCUUUACCAUCAUUUACUAGGUCCUCUCACCUUAAAUUAACAAGGAGAAGAUGAGAAAUGCUCAUCUCUUGCACUUACCGUUCAAGUUAUUAACUGUAUUAUUGAUGGUUAAUUGCUUUGAUUGUUGAUUGAAAGGAAAAUCUGUUUUUACCAUUUUUGGUUACUCUUUGUUUUGAUUUUAGCGCUUCAAUUUUUAACCAAAUUAUUGUUAUGGUGAUGGUCAAAGAGUAACAGUUCAACUUGUAAAACAAGUGUCAUUUGUAUUUUUAAUUUGUACUUAUUAGUAUUUAUAUUUAAUUGUUUCAUCUUUUUAAUUUGUUAAUUACUUAAUUUAAUUGUUGGACAAUUGAUUGGUAUUGCCUUUGGCUGGACAACUUGUUUGGUUAACUGUUGUAGAUUUGUUUGUUUGCUGCUAUUGGUUUUUUUCCUGUAUUAUUCCUUACUGCUUUGGGCAAUUGAAAGAUUGUUUUCAAAUAAAACUAAACGUUUUGGCUCAUUAUCAUCACAUCAACCGUUUCAUUGAAAGGAUAAGGCUAAUUAGAAGCUAUUAUUUGUCCAUAAACAUUCAAUUAAAACCAAAAAUGUGUGCAUAUUGAUUAGCCUGGAGUGAAUCUUGAAGAUUGUUUACUACACCAGUUGAUACAUGUUGGUUUUGUUAAUACAAAUCUGUUUGUCCAUCUUUUUUUAAUACCUUCAAUUGGAUUCUGGAAGUGUGCUUGGAUCAUUACAUUGAACUUAAAAUAAUCAUGGUGUAUAACGACUGGUGAUGGGAUAAAAGGUUUAUUCAAUUUACUGUUAAUGGGACAAAAUGUAGUCUUGGACAACUUGAUUGUGGAUUACAAAUUGAUCUUGGUAUGGCUUUCUUUCUUGGCUCAUUACUGCACAUUUCCGUUAUUAGCAAGGACAGUUUUGGACUCAAUUUCAUGUUUGCUGUUUUCAAAUUGUAAUUUCAUCUCAUUUAAUUACAGUUUUAUAUGUUUCGACAAUUGUUUAAAAA